UACAGAGGUCUCAAGCGUUGUUCGGAUUCAUUGGGCGUAAAGGGUGUGUAGGUGGCACCGUAAGUCGGGUGUGAAAUUUCGGAGCUUAACUCCGAAACUGCAUUCGAUAACUGCGGUGCUUGAGGACUGGAGAGGAGUACUGGAAUUCAUGGUGUAGCAGUGAAAUGCGUAGAGAUCAUGAGGAAGACCAGUGGCGAAGGCGG
rnacentral:rRNA from 1 species